GAUCCUGGCUCAGGAUGAACGCUGGCGGCGUGCUUAACACAUGCAAGUCGAACGAGAAUCUACUGAAAGAGUUUUCGGACAAUGGAUGUAGAGGAAAGUGGCGGACGGGUGAGUAACGCGUGAGGAACCUGCCUUGAAGAGGGGGGCAACAGUUGGAAACGACUGCUAAUACCGCAUGACGCAUAGGGGUCGCAUGAUCUUUAUGCCAAAGAUUUAUCGCUUCAAGAUGG
rnacentral:rRNA from 1 species